rnacentral:rRNA from 1 species
AGAGCGAACGCUGGCGGCAGGCCUAAUACAUGCAAGUCGAGCGGUCGUAGCAAUACGGCAGCGGCAGACGGGAGAGUAACACGUGGGAACGUACCUUUUGGUUCGGAACAACCCAGGGAAACUUGGGCUAAAUACCGGAUAAGCCCUUACGGGGAAAGAUUUAUCGCCAAAAGAUCGGCCCGCGUCUGAUUAGCUAGUUGGUGGGGUAACGGCCCACCAAGGCGACGAUCAGUAGCUGGUCUGAGAGGAUGAUCAGCCUCACUGGGACUGAGACACGGCCCAGACUCCUACGGGAGGCAGCAGUAGGGAAUAUUGGACAAUGGGCGCAAGCCUGAUCCAGCCAUGCCGCGUGAGUGAUGAAGGCCUUAGGGUUGUAAAGCUCUUCGACGGGGAAGAUAAUGACGGUACCGUAGAAGAACGCCCGGCUAACUUCGUGCCAGCAGCCGC